rnacentral:rRNA from 1 species
CAGUAACUGACGUUGAGGCACGAAAGUGUGGGGAGCAAACAGGAUUAGAUACCCUGGUAGUCCACACCGUAAACGGUGGAUACUAGGUGUAGGUAGUUAUAAGCUAUCUGUGCCGCCGCUAACGCAUUAAGUAUCCCACCUGGGGAGUACGACCGCAAGGUUGAAACUCAAAGGAAUUGACGGGGGCCCGCACAAGCAGUGGAGUAUGUGGUUUAAUUCGACGCAACGCGAAGAACCUUACCAAGGCUUGACAUAUACAGGAAUACUAUAGAAAUAUAGUAGCUCUUCGGAGCUUGUAUACAGGUGGUGCAUGGUUGUCGUCAGCUCGUGUCGUGAGAUGUUAGGUUAAGUCCUGCAACGAGCGCAACCCCUAUUUUCAGUUGCCAGCACGUAAUGGUGGGAACUCUGAAGAGACUGCCGGUAAUAAAUCGGAGGAAGGUGGGGAUGACGUCAAAUCAUCAUGCCCUUUAUGUCUUGGGCAACACACGUACUACAAUGGCCGCUACAGAGAGACGCAACACAGUGAUGUGAAGCAAAUCCCUAAAAUCGGUCUCAGUUCGGAUUGAAGUCUGAAAUUCGACUUCAUGAAGUCGGAAUGCU